UUCUUUUCACUUAGAAAAUGAUCCUGAAACUGGAUGGCUGGUCAAAAUUGCUGAGAAGGAUCAUGUGUGGUGUUUAUACACGGUGCGAACACAGUGGUUGGCAGCUGCCAUUAGCUGGCUAUAAAUCAUGAACUCAGAAAACAAACUUGUCUGACAGCCCUUCCAGAUGAUGAAUUCUGAGGGAUCGUGUUUCCUUCACAAUCCACUGCUGUCUGAGACAGACUUACAGAAGUUCUUUAGUACUUCCUUUCAAGAAAACCUAACAAGGGCCAGUGAAGUUCGAAGAAAGGUAUUUGUAGAAUCCUAGUCUCAGCCUUCGUGGUUAAUUGAAGCUCAGGCUGUAUUAUCGAUGGAUGAGACCCAAGGAGAGAAUAUGCUCCAUCUUCAGAGUCCUCCACAUUGCUAAUGAAGGCAAGAAUCAUUUCUACUCUUCUGCACACUCCUCACUGUGACAUGGUUUAGUCAAACCAGGUUUGAACCAUGCUUUAAGUUCCCCAGAAGCUUUUUUGUAAAUAGCAUGUGAUAUUUUAGUCUUGCACUGUUUUUGAUAGGUCUUCUGCUCUGUAAGAUCUGUUUCCUCCCAAUUCCACUAGCAACAAACACACAUGUGUGCAUACACACACACACACACACACACACACACAUAUAGUCAGGAAGACUUGCUUAUGCAUCUUGAUUUUGGUCUUUGGCUUCUAAAUUUCAUAUAUAUAUAUUUGGUACUGGGGAUUGAAAUC